CAAAAUGCUAAGAAUAUUCAGAGCAUGUCCAAUUUGAACAAUGCCGUUAACUACUCAUAAUCAAUAAACAGUUUGUUCCAUGGACAUUAACUUAUUACUUAGAGAAAAGGAUGUGUUGAGAUUAAUAUGCACUAAUGCAAUGUGUCACCAUUUUCUUGAUGCAUCAAGCUUAGGAGAUACUGAGGUCAUCAAUGAGUCUUGCAUUCAAGCUUGCUGUCUUUCAAAAUUAGGACACUGUACAUAAACUUGCAUUUUUGUGUUCUUUUUAUAAUGUUGUAAUUGUUUUUGUUACCUAAAAUAAUUAUUCUUUAAUACUA